UACGUAGGGUGCAAGCGUUAAUCGGAAUUACUGGGCGUAAAGCGUGCGCAGGCGGUUUUUUAAGUCAGAUGUGAAAGCCCCGGGCUUAACCUGGGAACUGCGUUUGAAACUACAAGGCUAGAGUGUGUCAGAGGGGGGUGGAAUUCCGCGUGUAGCAGUGAAAUGCGUAGAGAUGUGGAGGAACACCGAUGGCGAAGGCAGCCCCCUGGGAUAACACUGACGCUCAGGCACGAAAGCGUGGGGAGCAAACAGG
rnacentral:rRNA from 1 species